UACGGAGGGGGCUAGCGUUGUCCGGAAUUACUGGGCGUAAAGCGCACGUAGGCGGCUUUGUAAGUUAGAGGUGAAAGCCCGGGGCUCAACUCCGGAAUUGCCUUUAAGACUGCAUCGCUAGAAUUGUGGAGAGGUAAGUGGAAUUCCGAGUGUAGAGGUGAAAUUCGUAGAUAUUCGGAAGAACACCAGUGGCGAAGGCGACUUACUGGACACAUAUUGACGCUGAGGUGCGAAAGCGUGGGGAGCAAACAGG
rnacentral:rRNA from 1 species